GUGUUUCUCCAGUAACAUAAGGCAAGAGUUCUUUUGGAACAACGGGUAACAUUUCCCCCGCAACAUUUUGCGCUUCUUCGACAACAUCAUCGAAAUGUUCCUCUGAAAGAAGAGUUUUUGGUUCUUCGAGAAGGGAAAUCUUCCCUCUUCCAUAUCAUCAUGUCGUUCUCCUGCCUCCACGUCAUCAUCCGAUUUUCCUUCUAGUGCCAAUCCUUGUGGCUUUAAAACUUCAAGUUCCUUGUCCUCCGUUCCAGGAACAUCCACAGGUGCGCGGAGAUCAAAUCCAGACGGCGCCGCUGCCGCCAAUCCUGUUAAUUUUCUCUGCGUUUAAGCUGAAGACUGUCAGUAAUGUGUGGGCGGCCAAGUCUGGAGCGCGCAAACAUGUUUGGACAACAAAGUAUUUUUAUCUUUUUUGUAACCUUUUAAGAUCUACUCCUCAUCAUUGUUUUGGUCUUAUUUUGUAUUCAUUUGCCAGUUAUUGUCAAUCUCUUUUUCCAGUCCUGAAUCAGCGAAUGACUUUUUUAACGUGUCCAAGGCCCGCUCUAUCCGGACUCCUUUCAAUCGGAUCUUUUUGUUCUCUUUGCGAUCAUAUCUCGUCCUGCACCAACCCCCCCCCCCCCCGUAUUUGUCGGAGAUGUCUCCGCGUGUUGUUUGAAGCUAGCUAGCGUUUUGCCGUUUCUUAUUUUUUUGUUCACACCCCUGACAGAUCAACUUGGAUUCUCAAUAAAUGUUUGAAAAGAUGAAGGCUGCGUCACAGUCAAACUGUUCUGACAUCAAAGGGAUGCAGAGGAGACCUAACAGCCAAACCGAA